UAGCCUACGGGAGGCAGCAGUGGGGAAUAUUGCACAAUGGGGGAAACCCUGAUGCAGCAACGCCGCGUGAGUGAAGAAGUAUUUCGGUAUGUAAAGCUCUAUCAGCAGGGAAGAGAAUGACGGUACCUGACUAAGAAGCCCCGGCUAACUACGUGCCAGCAGCCGCGGUAAUACGUAGGGGGCGAGCGUUAUCCGGAUUUACUGGGUGUAAAGGGAGCGUAGACGGCAAUGCAAGCCAGAUGUGAAAGCCCGGGGCUCAACCCCGGGACUGCAUUUGGAACUGUGUAGCUGGCGUGUCGGAGAGG
rnacentral:rRNA from 1 species